UCCCUGGUGGCUCAGACAGUAAAGCUUCUGCCUACAAUGCAGGAGACCCAGGUUUAAUCCCUGGGUUGGGAA
rnacentral:tRNA from 1 species